UACUAAGGAGGCACGGAUUGCACGGCGCCCUGGGUGUUCUAGGAAACCAAUGAAUCAUGGAACACGACGUCAGAAUCUAAUGCUGUGCCGUCUGGUGACUAAGGGAACAUGAUAAAAUAAAAACCAAAAAAAAAAAAAAAAAAAGGCAGAAAGCUCUGGGGUAGCUCUGGUAGGAACAGGACCGAGCCCCGUACUGGAUGCGUCACCUGGAACCGAGAGCUGGGGUCCAGAUGCAUUUCUCGAUGCAAGUCCUGGUCGGCGGGUUCGGUUGCUGUAAAAGUUACGUCACACCGGCUGACUUAAAGCAGGAGAGUUUCUUCUCUGGAGGCCAGAGCCUAAAUCAAGGUGUGAGGACCACACUCCGGGGGUUUCGGGGAGGGCUGUUCUCCGUCCUCUUCCAGCUACCGUGGCAUCUUGGGCUCAUGCCCAUUUCAUGCCAAACACAGUCCUUGGCCACACUGCUGCCUCCUGUUCUGUCUGUCUGUCUGUCCCUGCGUCUCUCUGGUGAGGACACCUGUUGGCAUCUAUACCCCGCCUAUCAUCUGGGCAAUGUCCCCUCCUCAAGAUCCUUAACUUGUUGUAUCUGCGAAGACCCUUUUUCAAAAUACGAUUCACAUUUACUUUUUUCUUACAUAAGGGAACGCUCACAGAUUCUAGGAAUUAGGACAGGACGUAAAUUUUGGGGGACCACCAUUCAGCCCACGACAGUCUGCCUUGUGGACCCCAAACGUCCACCUUUGUCCCAUGUGCAGGACGCACACACCGUAUCCCGAGAGCCCCUAAAUUCCCAGCCCGUUACAGACUCAGGUCGUGUCAAACACCAUUAGGUCGAGAGUCCCAGAUCCCAUCACGGAUCCAUCUGAGUCAAGGACAGGUGAUACUCCGGAUAUGACCCGUCCCGGGGCAAAUUUCCCCUCCAUCUGAGGGCAGGGAAACUAGAGCAUAAAUUAUCUGCUUCCAAACCACAGCGCUGAGGCGAGGCAGACACCGCAGGUGCGGGCGUCCUCGCGGCGGGAAGAAGCAAGGAGAGGAGGCAGCAGGUCGUCAGUCCCCGGAAGGCUCGACACCCAGGAGGGCAGCUUCUGCCAGGGUCUGCCGGUGCGUGGCUGAUCACACCACUCAUCCUACAAGCAGGGGAGCGCCUACAAAGUCCUGCUUUCAUAUUGAAAUGUUCAGACUCACAAGAAACGCAAAGGCCUCUCGGGUUCCCUCGGCACCCCGCACCGUGCUCCCUCGCAUGGACAUUGUCAAACACGAGAAGUUGACGUCGGGGCAGCACCGUGAACUCGGGCACAGACUUGCUCGGAUCCCACAGUCUCUACCUUGUCACUCAUCGUCUGUGAGGCUCUGAGCCUUCAGAGAAGCAUGACCGCGGCCAAGACUCCGCGCUGUCCCGUCACCCUAAAAACACACCCUAUUCCGUCCCUGGAUAACUCCACUGUCCCCACAGUCCUGCGCCCUGGCCACCCUGGGAGUGACUCUGCUGGGGAGUGUGAGGGAGAAUAUGCAGAAUGCGGUCACCGGGCCGUGCAGUAGUGUCCGUUUCACGGCCCAGGGAACGCCGAGCUGUCCCCCAGCGGAGCGGCUGUCCCCGCCCGGGAUUUUAUGUAUUUAUUUGGAAGACGGAGAUAGG